rnacentral:rRNA from 1 species
GACGAACGCUGGCGGCGUGCUUAACACAUGCCAGUCGAACGGAAAGGCCCCUUUGGGGGUCCUCGAGUGGCGCACGGGUGAGUAACACGUGAGUAACCUGCCCUUGACUUCGGGAUAACUUCAGGAAACUGGGGCUAAUACCGGAUAGGAAUCCUUGCUGCAUGGUGGGGGUUGGAAAGCUUCGGCGGUUUUGGAUGGACUCGCGGCUUAUCAGCUUGUUGGUGGGGUAGUGGCUUACCAAGGCUUUGACGGGUAGCCGGCCUGAGAGGGCGACCGGCCACAUUGGGACUGAGAUACGGCCCAGACUCCUACGGGAGGCAGCAGUGGGGAAUAUUGCACAAUGGGCGGAAGCCUGAUGCAGCAACGCCGCGUGCGGGAUGACGGCCUUCGGGUUGUAAACCGCUUUCAGCAGGGGCGAAGCUUUUGUGACGGUACCUGCAGAAGAAGCACCGGCUAACUACGUG